UACAUAUCAAUAAGCGGAGGAAAAGAAACCAACAGGGAUUGCCCUAGUAACGGCGAGUGAAGCGGCAACAGCUCAAAUUUGAAAUCUGGCGUCUUUGGCGUCCGAGUUGUAAUUUGCAGAGGGCGCUUUGGCAUUGGCAGCGGUCCAAGUUCCUUGGAACAGGACGUCACAGAGGGUGAGAAUCCCGUACGUGGUCGCUAGCCUUUACCGUGUAAAGCCCCUUCGACGAGUCGAGUUGUUUGGGAAUGCAGCUCUAAAUGGGAGGUAAAUUUCUUCUAAAGCUAAAUACUGGCCAGAGACCGAUAGCGCACAAGUAGAGUGAUCGAAAGAUGAAAAGCACUUUGGAAAGAGAGUUAAAAAGCACGUGAAAUUGUUGAAAGGGAAGCGCUUGCAGCCAGACUUGCCUGUAGUUGCUCAUCUGGGUUUUUACCCAGUGCACUCUUCUAUAGGCAGGCCAGCAUCAGUUUGGGCGGUUGGAUAAAGGUCUCUGUCAUGUACCUCUCUUCGGGGAGAACUUAUAGGGGAGACGACAUGCAACCAGCCUGGACUGAGGUCCGCGCAUCUGCUAGGAUGCUGGCGUAAUGGCUGUAAGCGGCCCGUCUUGAAACACGGACCAAGGAGUCUAACAUCUAUGCGAGUGUUUGGGUGUCAAGCCCGAGCGCGUAAUGAAAGUGAACGGAGGUGGGAACCUUUCGGGGUGCACCAUCGACCGAUCCUGAUGUCUUCGGAUGGAUUUGAGUAAGAGCAUAGCUGUUGGGACCCGAAAGAUGGUGAACUAUGCUUGAAUAGGGUGAAGCCAGAGGAAACUCUGGUGGAGGCUCGCAGCGGUUCUGACGUGCAAAUCGAUCGUCAAAUUUGGGCAUAGGGGCGAAAGACUAAUCGAACUAUCUAGUAGCUGGUUCCUGCGUG
rnacentral:rRNA from 1 species